rnacentral:rRNA from 1 species
CCCUUAGAUGUCCGGGGCCGCACGCGCGCUACACUGAAGGAAUCAGCGUGGCUUUCUCCCUGACCCGAAAGGGUUGGGAAACCCGUCGAAUCUCCUUCGUGAUAGGGAUUGGGGCUUGAAAUUGUUCCCCAUGAACGAGGAAUUCCCAGUAAGCGCGAGUCAUAAGCUCGCGUUGAUUACGUCCCUGCCCUUUGUACACACCGCCCGUCGCUACUACCGAUGGAACGGUUUAGUGAGGGCCUCGGAUUGGUCUCGGCCCGCUCUUUACCGGGCGGCGCCGUUGGUCGAGAAGACGCUCGAACUUGAUCGUUUAGAGGAAGUAAAAGUCGUAACA